AUUUGGUUCGGUGCCUGGUUACGAUGCGUUGGCGGUUCGACAUGCAACUCAACGUAAGCGGUUACGUGCCGAGUUACGUGUUAGUGUUAGUCCGCGGCAAACACUCAACGGCAACGGGUCAGAUACGCGCGUGUCGGCAAUCGGCAAAAAACGGCGAAAGAUACAAAAACAUUUCAGAGACCGAAACCGAGGAGCAUUGAUAAAAAUAUUGAGUCAAACCAAGUGCAGACCGAGACACUGAGGCUGCGUGUGUAUGUGGAUUUCGAAUUGAAUUUGAUUGGAUUUGGUUUCGAUUCAACUCGGUGCAUGAAACAAAUACAAAAAAAAAUACGAAUGUUUCAUAAAUAAAAAAAGAUUAAGAUAAAAAAUUUUAAAUCAAAAUAAGAUACAGAUACGGUACGCGAUACGAAAUCAAAUAAAUUAUUAAUUUAUACAAUUUAUUGUCGUAGAGAAUUAUGAACAAUUUCGAAUUGCAAACGAAAAGUUAAAAGAAUUUCGUCAGAUCGUGAAAGGACUUUCGAUUUCGGAUUGAUAUUGAUUGAUUUUGAUGGAUUGAUAAGACAACAUUUGUGCAGUGAAUAAAAAGCAAACUUUGCAGAAACCACACAACAACAAUAAUAAUAACAACAACCACAACAGCAACAACAAUUGCAACAACAGCAACUGAAAUUCAAAAAAGGGAACAACGUCUUCUCUCCGUCCAGCAAACAACCGACAUCGUCUGUCUACGCCUGCUACACAAGUAUAUAUACUAUAUAUAUGCUCCUACCUAUAUAUAUAUGCAUAUAUAAAAAACGAUCGAGAUCGAUUUAGUGUGUGCGUGUGCAAUAUACAUAUGUACUUGCUGCGACGAUCCUCUAUAUAAUCGACAGCACACACACACUCAAACAGAUACAGUUAUAAUUCGCGUAUGUGUGUGCGGGUAUCAUAUAUAUACAAAUAUAUAUAUCUAGGCAGAGUAGAAGAUAUAUGCGUAUGAAGCUGAACGCGGCGCACUCUGCUCUGCUUUUUUUCUUUUAUAAUUACUUUUGUCUAAAAUUAGAAAACGUGUGUGUUGUGUUCGUCGGGUGUGUGUACUACGGUUGCGUACGCGCGUGUGUUUGUGUGUUGUGUGUGUGUGCGUGUGUACGUGUGUGUGUGUGUGCCAGAAAACACUCGACAGUGAAUCAGGCAACGACUACGACUACGACUACGUCUAUAUAGACAGAUCGCGUAUACGGCGAGACAAACACUAACAUUAUCGAGGGCCUGAGAAAGCAAAAAAAAUUAAAUAAAAACACUGAGAGUGUAUCUCACAGAUACGCGCGCAGCGAGGAUUACAAUUACAACAGCAGCAGCAACAACAGCAACAACAUUGGCAACAACGACAGCGACACGAACGAAGCGUCGCAUCGCACGCACGAAGCAGACGAAGCAACCAAUCGGCAACAGCCGACGGCAGCCGAACGUGCCAACGAAUCGCGCACGAAACGCGCGCGCGUGAAAAACGUCGUGAAAAACGCGCAAACAGCAACAACAACAACAUUGUUAGAAAUCAAAAAAAAUAAAUAAAAAAUACAAUAAAAUUCAAAAAACUUCAAACUCAACGCCACGCGACGACCUUAAGUCUACGUCCAUCAAAGAGGUUUGGGGGGCGUGGCCAGAGCGUCAGUGCGUCGACUCCAAGGCGCUCAAGUGAAACGCAGCGAAUAAAAUAAUUCUAAGCAGCAGCAACAUAAAUAAAUGCAACAGCAACGAACGAGCGAAUGAACGAAUAAACAACAAUAAUAACAACAAUAAAUACAAAAUACAAGCGGCAAUUUAUUUAUUUAAAGAUAAACGUAUACAUUUUUGCAUUGCCAAAGCAGACGAUCGGGCCAAAAUGAGUCACCAGCAACAACAGCAACAGCAACAAGCACAACAGCAGCAGCAAGAGAAACAGCAACAACAACAGCAACUGACAGCAAAUUUCUCAAAGUGCUUAUAAAUAUUAUGCUAGAAAUUGUCAAACAUUGACACAAACAUACACACAAAA